rnacentral:misc_RNA from 1 species
UAAACUCAGAUUUCUCAGAACACAAAACAAAACUAUCCUCGAAUAGAAUUUAAGACUCUUUCGCAAAUUCUAGGUUUAUAUCGGCACUCCCAAGAUUUUUGUCUUCUUUAAAUUUUUCCUUUCCCUGUUUGGCUGCCGAGGAAAAAAAAAACCACAUUGAAAAUACAUCAAACUCCCUUCCUCCACACUUGGCACUUGCUUCUUCUGUGCUAUUCGACCUUUCUUCUUCUUCUGAAUAAAAACUAAGUUUCAGCUGUCCAACACUUGGUUGAUCUCAUUCCUUUGCAUUUUUUUUUCCUUCCCUUCUGUGUUCUUCUGGUUUAAAAGUAACCCUCUUUCUCUGUGAAAAGGACGGUUUUGGUUUUGGUUUUGGGCGGCCUUGGGAAUCUUUGAAUGGUCAUUGUUUUGCUUCUUCUGGUGCGCUGUCGCUUUUUUUUUUCCGUUCUUUUUAAAUUUUUUGUAAAAGUCUUAUUUGAAUGUUUCUACAAUGGCGGAUUCCACGAAAGUGAGGCUCGUAAGGUGUCCAAAGUGUGAAAACCUUCUUCAGGAGCUCGCGGAUUACUCUGUUUAUCAGUGUGGUGGUUGUGGUGCUAUUCUUCGAGGUACGGUUUUUCUCAAUUUUCUGAUAACUUUCUUUUCCCAUUCCCUAUUGAAGCAUGUUGGGAAAAACUUUGGUUUGUGAAAUAACAAAUAUUAGAAUUCUUACGUAACUUGAAAUUAAAUUGGUUGGAUAUAUUUUUUAUUUUUUGGUAUCUAAAUGGCUAUUUCCUUUCUCAGUUUAUUAUAAUUUUGGCAAUCCAAUUGUGCGUCAUACUUAACUUUAGGAUUUUUUUUUAUCUCAAAUGGGUUUUACUCAUGUUAUUGAUAGGGAAAUGUCUAAUUAUUAUUAUUUUUUUUCCCAUUUUGCUGUAAUCCCUAUCCAAUUGAUGUUAAAACAUACGAAAAGUGAAGGAAUCAAUGCACUGAAUCAUUACACUGUUUGUGGAACAUCAUUCUUGUAUUUGGCACAGAAGUUUUUUUUUCCCCUUCUUUAUAUUUGUUUUUGUAAUUUUGAGAGCGGAAUUCUUGUUUGCAUAAAUUGCAGCAAAAAAUAAAGAUAGGGACACAGGUACUUCAUCACAAAAGUCGGAUGAAGCUCAGAUCGCUGGAGUAACCACUGAAUUGCAGAAUUCCUUAGAAAGGGGAGUUGUGGAGUUGAGUGAUUCUUCUGAUGUGGAUAUUAAGUCGAAUGCUGGAUCUUUGAGUUGUGAUGAAAAGAAUCCUGAGAAGAAUGGUGUAGGUGAUGGUGAUGCUGAUAGAAGUAGGAAUCUAUCUGAGGCUUUGAGUGGUAAAUUGGUAAGCGAAAAUGAUCUUGAUAUGAACAUGAACAGAGAUAAUUUGGGCAGUGCUGUGGGAAGAGAACAUGGCAAUUUGAAUUCUGAAAUCAGACAUAUGAAUAGGUCUUGGAGAUCUGGACAGAUGUCAGGCUGGGAGUGUGGGGAGAGAGGUGAAAUGGAGGGGUUUCAAAGAGUCUUGAGAACUGAGGUUGAAGGUGUGAGAUUUUCUACUUCAAACUACCCAGAUGAUGGCCCAUCUAAUUACAAUGUAGGUUCUUCCUAUGGUUAUGGAGAGCAUCACGAUGACCAUGAUUGGGCUAAUAAAGUUCAACACCUUGAAAAAGAUCGAGCAGAGCUUCUCAGGAAAUUGGAUGAGCUAAAGGAACAACUUAGUAGGUCCUAUGAUGUGGCUGAUAAAACCAAGGAGAAGGUUCCUCUUAAUGCGAGGAUGGUACCACCAGAUCCUUAUGCUGGUUCUGAUACUUGGUUUCCUGGUGCUUCAUCAAUGCCUGAUAGGGCUUCGAUGCAGUUUUUUGCACCUGACAAACAUGCAGCUAGGCCUCCUUAUUUCCAUCAUCACCCUGGUCCAUUUUCAUAUACCAAUGCACAUGAAAUGGCCCUGCAUAAUUUUCAUCCUCCAAUGCACACGUCAAAUCAGAUUCCUGGGUAUGGGGAUCCAUUUGUGCCAAAAAGAGCUCCGCAUCAGUUAUCUGGACAAUAUCAACAACCCUCCCAUCAAUACUUCUCUAGACAUUUCUUUGAUACUAAUCCUAAUGCAUUUGAGCCACACACAUCCAAUGCAACAUUUCACCCGCCUUCAUGUUCUUGUUUCCAUUGUUAUGAGAGACAUCAGGGAGUCUCAGCACCAGUUCCACCCACCACUUUCUGUAAUAAAAGGUUCCCUGACGUUUCAAACAAUCCUAUGCCGUACCAUCAUGAAAACCCAGGGGCAUUUGGUCCACAUGUUCAUAAUGCCAGGACUACAAUUCCUCCUCAAUUGGAUUUUCGUGGUCCCCAAUCCCACACAAGAUGGCCAAGUGAUCCUAACUCUGAAAUGGGUGGUUUUGCUCGCUAUCGGCCUCGGAGAGUGGUCUUAGCCAGUGGUGGUCAAUGCUGCCGUCCCAUAGUAGGUGGUGCUCCAUUUUUUAUGUGCUUUAAUUGCUUUGAACUGCUGCAAUUUCCCAAGAAAGCACUGCUUAUGGGGAAGAAUCAACAAAAGAUCAGGUGUGGUGCCUGUUCUACAGAAAUAAAUUUUGCUAUUGUAAACAAGAAACUUGUUCUUUCAGUUAACACGGAAAUGACACAAAUUCCCACAGAGGUUGAUGAUAGCUCUACAGAGAUGCUUAAAGACAAUACUUCAUACUCUCAUGGCCAUAUGAGCAGGAUAAAUGCUAAUUUCUCUUCCGAUGAUUAUGAUAAUUCUGGUUAUGACUUCCAAGCAAUAGAUACUGAUUCAAUUGCAUUAUUAACUGGUCAGGGUUUGAACUCAAUGAAGCAUCAAGAAAUGAAUAGCUUCCAUGCUUCAUCUCCAAGUACAUCGGAGGAUGAAACUAGUCCAGAUGCUUUAAUUGCUCCAAUAGAGGUCAUCAACUCUGUUCAGCAGCCAAUUAAAGCUAUUGUAUCUCCGCCACCUCCUGGUUCACCUCUUCAACAGCAUUUGGAUUAUUCUACUAACAAUAAUGUGGUGAACCGAUUUGGAAAAGGAAACCGAAGUAGUCGUUCAGAUCAAGAAAAAGUAAUAACAAGCAAAACUACCGCACGACAAAAUUCUAUGAAAGAGGCAUCUCUAGCUACUGAGAUAGAGGUCCCAUUCCAUGAGUACUCUAAUACUGGGGUGUCCCAAGAUUCUGGGGAUGCAAACAGGGAUGAUAGUCUGUUGAAAAUCAACAAAGGAGGCGAUUCAUUUUUUGCAAACAUCAUCAAGAAGAGCUUUAAGGAUUUUUCCAGAUCAAAUCAAAUAAAUGAGCAUGGUAGAAGUAAUGUUUCUGUGAAUGGCCAUCCAAUACCAGACCGUUUGGUUAAGAAGGCUGAGAAGUUAGCUGGACCAAUCCAUCCUGGACAAUAUUGGUAUGAUUUCCGAGCUGGAUUUUGGGGUGUCAUAGGUGGGCCUUGUCUUGGCAUAAUUCCUCGUUUUAUUGAAGAAUUCAAUUAUUCAAUGCCGGAAAAUUGUGCCGGUGGGAAUACCAGUGUUUUUGUAAAUGGUAGAGAACUUCACCAAAAAGAUUUGGAUCUGCUUGCUGGUAGAGGACUUCCAACUGAUAAAGACAGAUCUUACAUAAUUGAGAUCUCUGGAAGAGUCCUGGAUGAAGACACUGGUGAAGAGCUAGAUAGCCUUGGGAAGCUCGCUCCAACAGUUGAGAAGGUAAAGCAUGGGUUUGGCAUGAAAGUUCCAAAAGCAGCUGCGUAAUGAAACUGUAGGAGAUAUGAAGCUCUAAUGUGCCCUCUGGCAUGUGGUAAAAUCUUAAGCCUUCCUGUAGUGGAAUUUGAAACACCAUCUUAGCAGAUAUGUUUGAAGUAUAUGGACAGUUUUUCAGGCAUCCUGGUACAUAACGAUGCAAUGUUGGAUGGUAACCUAUUAAAUAUAAAGCUUCAUCUCUCGUCUUCUGAUUUUGUAUUUUGAUUGUUAUGUAGACAAUUGGCAGUGAUCUUGUGCUAUGUUUUGCAUUUGUGAAUGUAAUUAUUCAAUUCUUUUUCACAAUCAAACAUUUCGUUGUAUGUAGUUUGAGUUUAUCUGUAGAAUGGUAUUCAUCAAAGGUUGAAGUUAGUGAUCUAAUUUCCGGAAUAAUUCCAGC